GCAUCAAAAGUUUUUGAUUUUGGAAAUAGCAUUCCCUCUGUCUAUCUUAGUCGUUUGUCAUUUAUUUAUUUUUAUUAUUGUUUUUGAUGAGUAAAGAAUUUACUCAUUUUAUUCAUUUCAGGUCAUCUCAUCAUACUUUAACUCUUUUCAACUAAAGGGUUAAUUCCAUUAUGGGUGAAAGGUUAACUAUCAACAUGAUCACUCCCAAUACAGAAGAAUGGACAUGUAAGAUCCAAGUAAUUGAUAAAAGUCGUCCCAAAGACAACAAAGAGAAAACCAAAAAAUAUCAACUCAUGACUUUACAGGAUGAAGAGGAAAAUCAAGUUCAGACCAUCAUGUUCAAUGCUGAUAUAACGCAUUUUGAAGAUCUAUUUGAUCCUUUCCACACUUACUUGGUGUCAGUUGCACAAGUGAAGGAGUCAUCUUAUUUAUAUGCAAAUUCACUAGAACAAUUGAUAGAAGCACCAUUGUUGAGCCAAUUGAAAAGGUCACUCCUCCUGAGGAUCCAUUACCUCCGCCAACGUGGCUAACUAUCACAGCCUUUGACACUUUCGAAUGUCCUUGCUAUUGUGAUUAAAUGCGGCCCUUCAACAUAUGCUGCAAAUGGAAGAAAAAUUCAAGAAUUUAUCAUUAUGGAUAAGCAGGCCAAAACAAUUGAACCAAUGCUUAAUGCAUACAAGAUGAAGAGUACAUCUUCCGCAGGCUUCGUUAUAGUGGUUCCCUUUGAGGAUGAAAUCAUAGCUAUUUCCAAUAUCCAAGCGCAACCUCAAGGGCAAAUAUUUUAUGUCGAAGCUGAACUUUCUCUGCCAAAUGAGAACCAACGAUUUUGUGUGUUAACUUGUUCUGACUGUAAGCAAUUGUUCAUGAGAUCUUUCUCUCGGAGGACAAUUUAUUGUACAAACUGUCAACGAUCCACUCAUCUAAUUCCAAGUUACUGUUAGAGACAAUAGUGGUUUUGCAACAGCCAUUAUUUUUGACAAACCUGCAGAGAAUGUUAUGCCUCAGCUCAAAAGAAAUUUAUGACAUCUACCAUGUGAAGAUUCGACGCGCGUGGAGGCGAAUUUGAGGGGUAAAGGUGUCGCGAGCUCGAGAAUUAGCCAGUUCACGGUGAGUAAUGGUUGUAAAUGAUGUCCUGAGGGUUUGAAACCCCGGAUUGCACAUCGUAGUGCUAUAUUAA